ACGCAUCACAACUCUUUUAGAACUUAUCUAGCAGGUCUUCAAGUCCACAGAGGAAGGCUCUC
rnacentral:snRNA from 1 species